AGCCUUUUCUCAAAAACGAUUUAAAGCUGCUGUUGGUAGGAAUGGUGUAAAACAACGUUGCUUAUUUUCUGCUGAGUUUGGAGAAAAGGUCAUAAUACCCAUCAGUAUUCAUCGGUACUUAUCGUGCCGCCUGGAGAUUCUCCACCUGAUAGAGUCCGUGAUCGAGCAGGACAAUCUCCGCCUUCCUGCUCUUGGGGCACUUGCGGACCAACACGUUCCCCGGAUGCGGGUCGCAGUGGACGAAGCCGUGCAUGACGAUCAUUUCGCUGUACAUCUUACCCAGGUUCUCUGAGAUCUGAAAACAACAGAGGAGAGAAUCAGCUGGCUCAGAGAGCUCAAGCUGUUCUGGUUUGUUUGUUGUUAAACUAUAAAUUAUUUAUGUACACAAGGAUAAAUAUGACCUCUGCAACCAAGGAUGGAAAUAGAAUAAAGAAAUUGUUAUCAUGGUAGUGUUUGAUGCUGUAUUUUGAUCAGUCAGUGCAUCACAGCAGUGGUCUCUCAUUUUUUGUGAUUUGGCGCUAUACAAAUAAAGAUUGAUUGAUUGAUAUGCAGAUUUUUUUUAUUGCAUUUUCUGAAAAAAAAUCUCAUCCUGGUUACUUUCAGCAGUCACAUAAAUCUGGUGGCAAGUUAAUCAACUCAUCACUUGAUAUAAAGGCUGCAGAUUACAUAACUAACUGGUGACCACU